GUAGCGAAAGACGGGUGAGAAUCCCGUCCACCGAUUGACUAAGGUUUCCAGAGGAAGGCUCGUCCGCUCUGGGUUAGUCGGGUCCUAAGCUGAGGCCGACAGGCGUAGGCGAUGGAUAACAGGUUGAUAUUCCUGUACCACCUAUAAUCGUUUUAAUCGAUGGGGGGACGCAGUAGGAUAGGCGAAGCGUGCGAUUGGAUUGCACGUCUAAGCAGUAAGGCUGAGUAUUAGGCAAAUCCGGUACUCGUUAAGGCUGAGCUGUGAUGGGGAGAAGACAUUGUGUCUUCGAGUCGUUGAUUUCACACUGCCGAGAAAAGCCUCUAGAUAGAAAAUAGGUGCCCGUACCGCAAACCGACAC
rnacentral:rRNA from 1 species